CAGUAGCCACGGUAAUACAGAGGGUGCGAGCGUUAAUCGGAUUUACUGGGCGUAAAGCGUGCGUAGGCGGCUUUUUAAGUCGGAUGUGAAAUCCCUGAGCUUAACUUAGGAAUUGCAUUCGAUACUGGGAAGCUAGAGUAUGGGAGAGGAUGGUAGAAUUCCAGGUGUAGCGGUGAAAUGCGUAGAGAUCUGGAGGAAUACCGAUGGCGAAGGCAGCCAUCUGGCCUAAUACUGACGCUGAGGUACGAAAGCAUGGGGAGCAAACAGGAUUAGAUACCCCCGUAGUCCCUGUCUCUAUACC
rnacentral:rRNA from 1 species